rnacentral:lncRNA from 1 species
GGGUCUCUUUGCCAAGUGCCCGAUGCUUGGCACUAGGCAAAGCAUCCGGCGCUCGGCAAAGGCCAGGAUUCGGGUAGUGUUAACCCAUUUCUUUGACGGUUUUUGGCAUUUAUGGCAAUUCGAGAUUGUGGUAGUGUAGUAUUGGUUAAACAGUCCUUUCUGGCAGAGUUAAUGUUUUCUAAGGUGUAGUCACCGACCUAUAUAUAUACCUAGGCCGUUAGGUAACGUUGUGGAUAGACUUGACUGAAAUGUCACUGGUAGAGGACAGGCCUUUUGUCCCGGUCGAAAACCACUUGUAGUCCCGGGUGGCGAGCCAGGACUAAGGGAUCGGGACUAAAAGUCCCACCUUUAGUCCCGGCUCUCCAGGCCGGGACUAAAUGGGGACAUUUAGUCCCGGUUGGUAAUACCAACCGGGACUACAGGGGGCGUCAGGCAGUGACGUGGCGCCACCCCUGGCCACCCCAUUUAGUCCCGGUUGGUAUUACAAACCGGGACUAAAGUUUUUUUUGUUUUUGUUUUUCUUUUUCUUUUCCCUUUUCAUUUCUUUAUUGAUUUUGGUUUUCAAUUGUAUAUGUUCUCCAAUUUAAUCGUAUACACCGCAAUUAUCCGUAUACGUUGCACCUAUACAAGAGCGUCAUUAUUGCUCACAAAUAAAGUAUGAAACUUCACAUAUAUAUUAUCCGUAUAAUAUAUAUAUAUAUAUAUAUAUAUAUUAUAUAGCUAUACACAUACGUACAUACACAUUACAUUUACAAUAAUAAUAUAUAUGUACAAGUAAUAAUCAAGUGUGCUGCCACCGGUUAAUGAUUACAUAAUGUUUGCCUGCCCACUCAAAGCUCUUACAAGUGUUCGUCCUUGUUUGGAAUGGGCUUGAAGCCCUGUGGGUAUAAGUGGAACUCGCCGUCUUCCGAAAUGACAUGAUCGUUGAUAAAUCCGACGAUCGUCUCCUGGACUCCAAGGAGUAAUGUGUACUCGAACACUUUAUCUUUCAUAUUCCACUCCUUCCAUUUGCAUUAGUUAAAAAAGAUGUUAAUAUACAUAAAAUCUAUUUAGUUCCAACAAAUAAAUAAGAUAUGAAUUUACUGUAUACACAUGCAUGUUACUUACUUUUAGAACACUUUGAGCAGGUUUAAAUAGGGUGCACCGCAUAAAUUUACAAACAUAGUAUCCACAUAGAUUCGUUCCAAACGGCUGCGUGGGCACCCAAGAGAGUAGAACAGGAGGAGGAAGUGACACAUUCAGAUCCGUACGAUAUUUUUGUUGUAGCCAAGCCCAAGCCCUGCCCAAUAAGACGCUCGUUGAUUAGGUAUAGCUAGCAUAAUAAAGUAAAGGAGCACGCAUCGAUAUUUAAAGUAUAAUAUAUAUACUUACCUCUGGAUCAUGUCUAUUAUGUCUUGAUAGAGUGCCAGGUCUUUUUUCAUUGAGUCCCACACAUGUAUUUUUUGUUCCGUGAUCUUAAUCUCAAUGAGUAUCCAAUGAUCUCUGCAUUUGUUUAGAGUCAACUUAUAUAUGUAUAUCUUAAUGCCGGAUUAACUAAGAUAUGAUAUAACACAACACUUACCCCAUAUUGUAAGGGAAGAGUAUCUUCUCCGUAUGCCUUUGGUUAUAAAAGAACCUCCGGAGGUUCUUCUCCAUUUCCUUAGGCUUCAGAUUAAAUGGAUCUUUAGUUUUAGUGUCCUUGUACACGACAUAUGGAUCGAUGAAACCAAUUCGAUUGUCUUUUUUCAAUCUUUGUUCUCUCAUCAUGUGUCUGCACAUCGUGAGCGUAGUUAUUACGAAUACAUACAUAUGCUAUAAUGGAAUUAAUGAUUGAAAGGAAGAAUCACUUACAGAUGUAGCAGCUCAUGAGAGAAUUGUCGAGAGCAUUCAUAUGGAGAAGUUGGUGUACUUCACUAAAAUCUAUCCAUAUGACGUCAUCUCCACGGAAGUAGUGUCGGUCGCGGACUCGGACGGCAAUCAAUUCUUCUUCUAUAUGUUUUGAGCUGACUCUCAAGUAGUACUCGUGCAGCUUGUAUAUUUGCGUACCAAGUCCUCGUACCUUCUCAGGGUGGCACAU